rnacentral:rRNA from 1 species
AACGAACGCUGGCGGCAUGCCUAACACAUGCAAGUCGAACGAGACCUUCGGGUCUAGUGGCGCACGGGUGCGUAACGCGUGGGAACCUGCCUUUAGGUUCGGAAUAACUCAGAGAAAUUUGAGCUAAUACCGGAUAAUGUCUUCGGACCAAAGAUUUAUCGCCUUUAGAUGGGCCCGCGUUGGAUUAGCUAGUUGGUGGGGUAAAGGCCUACCAAGGCGACGAUCCAUAGCUGGUCUGAGAGGAUGAUCAGCCACACUGGGACUGAGACACGGCCCAGACUCCUACGGAGGCAGCAGUGGGGAAUAAUUGGACGAAUGGGCGGAAAGGACCUCGAUCCAGCAAUGCCGCGUGAGUGA